rnacentral:rRNA from 1 species
CAGUCGCCACGGGAAUACGGAGGGUGCAAGCGUUAAUCGGAAUUACUGGGCGUAAAGCGUGCGUAGGCGGUUCGUUAAGUCUGUUGUGAAAGCCCCGGGCUCAACCUGGGAAUGGCAAUGGAUACUGGCGAGCUAGAGUGUGUCAGAGGAUGGUGGAAUUCCCGGUGUAGCAGUGAAAUGCGUAGAGAUCGGAAGGAACAUCUGUGGCGAAGGCGACUAUCUGGGCCAACACUGACACUGAGGCACGAAAGCGUGGGGAGCAAACAGGAUUAGAUACCCGCGUAGUCCCUGUCUCUUAUAA